GACGAACGCUGGCGGCGCGCUUAACACAUGCAAGUCGAGCGGAGCGGCGAACGGGUGAGUAACGCGUGGGUGACCUGCCCUGCACUUCGGGAUAAGCCUGGGACAAUGGGUCUAAUACCGGAUAGUGUGGGAUGGGCCCGCGGCCUAUCAGCUUGUUGGUGGGGUAAUGGCCUACCAAGGCUGCGACGGGUAGCCGGCCUGAGCGGGUGGACGGCCACAUUGGGACUGAGACACGGCCCAGACUCCUACGGGAGGCAGCAGUGGGGAAUAUUGCACAAUGGGCGGAAGCCUGAUGAAGCGACGCCGCGUGGGGGAUGCCGGCCUUCGGGUUGUAAACUCCUUUCACCAUCGACGCGGUAGAUGGAGAAGAAUCACCGGCUAACUACGUGCCAGCCGCCGCGGUAAUAC
rnacentral:rRNA from 1 species